rnacentral:rRNA from 1 species
UAGGGAAUCUUCCGCAAUGGGCGAAAGCUUGACGGAGCAACGCCGCGUGAGUGAUGAAGGUCUUCGGAUCGUAAAACUCUGUUAUUAGGGAAGAACAAAUGUGUAAGUAACUAUGCACGUCUUGACGGUACCUAAUCAGAAAGCCACGGCUAACUACGUGCCAGCAGCCGCGGUAAUACGUAGGCGGCAAGCGUUAUCCGGAAUUAUUGGGCGUAAAGCGCGCGUAGGCGGUUUUUUAAGUCUGAUGUGAAAGCCCACGGCUCAACCGUGGAGGGUCAUUGGAAACUGGAAAACCUGAGUGCAGAAGAGGAAAGUGGAAUUCCAUGUGUAGCGGUGAAAUGCGCAGAGAUAUGGAGGAACACCAGUGGCGAAGGCGACUUUCUGGUCUGUAACUGACGCUGAUGUGCGAAAGCGUGGGGAUCAAACAGGAUUAGAUACCCUGGUAGUCCACGCCGUAAACGAUGAGUGCUAAGUGUUAGGGGGUUUCCGCCCCUUAGUGCUGCAGCUAACGCAUUAAGCACUCCGCCUGGGGAGUACGACCGCAAGGUUG